rnacentral:lncRNA from 1 species
CGAAGUAAUUGUUUGGCUGCCACAUUGUUUGUUUUUCUAUAUGGACAAACAGUAAAAGGUAAGUAGUUUGUGAUUAGUUUUAACAAUUUUGUGACUUUCUUUCAAAUUCACUUUAUACAUUGUAGGGGACAUGUGCACAGAAAUAGGUCACUUUCAGGGCGUGUACCGUCGUCUAAAGUGCCGAUCGUUAAGCCAAAACGAUGUGUACGGCAAGAUUCAAGAUUUAUAAAUUAUAUUUUAGAGUUCGAGUUUAAAUGAUCGAGUGACAAAUAACGCAUAUUUUGUGCAUUCUAUGUUGCAAUGAUAAAAAAAACCAAUACAUGUGAGAGGAGAAAUACAAUGUAGCUAUUUGAAUAAGCAUUUAACAUGUUUAUCUAAUGGAAAUCAAAUUUAUAAAACAUUUUUCUUUUUCAAUUUCAGUUUCAAAUCUAGCCAACACGGCAACAGAUUUCUACAGGCCAUGGGAAUAAAAAUAUCACAGAACUGUUGGAUCAGCUCUCAUAGUACCAGCUUUCUUCUGAUGAACUACCCAGUUUUAACCAGGCAAUAGCAAUGGGAGCAAUGGCAGAAAUAAUAGAUGACAUUUUACAUUGCUCAAAAAAAACAUGACAUUCUUUCAAAUCUUGAUGAAGCUAAUUCAGUCAAAUAUCAAUUCCUACUGUGGGAGAGCCUUUUCAAUUAUAAAGAAAUUGACACUGAAUUCGGAUGAGAACUUGACUAUGCUACAUUUGUAUUGUGUGCUGUUAUCAAAUAAAUGUAACUAAACUUGAAACUGGCAGUUGUUUUGAAUAUGUGCCUAGUGGUGGUGCUUUAAAAGCAACAUUACAGACCACUGUUUAAUAAAAUAAAAGUUCACAGUAGAAUAUAUAUAUUGUUUUUUUAUAUUCACAACUUUGUAUGAAAUUACGAACAUUACCACAUUCAUAUUAACAAGUCUGC